rnacentral:rRNA from 1 species
UACAGAGGUCUCAAGCGUUGUUCGGAUUCAUUGGGCGUAAAGGGUGUGUAGGUGGCGCCGUAAGUCGGGUGUGAAAUUUCGGAGCUUAACUCCGAAACUGCAUUCGAUACUGCGGUGCUUGAGGACUGGAGAGGAGACUGGAAUUCAUGGUGUAGCAGUGAAAUGCGUAGAGAUCAUGAGGAAGACCAGUGGCGAAGGCGGGUC